ACAAACAAACAAACAAACAUACAUAUUCCGCCAUUUUUAAAAAAAGUCCAUUCGUGCACAGCGCCAUGGAUUUUUCUCACAAAUUUAAACUUUUGCUGCCCUUAUUGAAUUCACUCAACUACAGUAUACGCAACACGCCAGCAUAACGACUGAUACAACCUCAAGACUGGAAAUAUUGCCAUGACUUGCAAGCUUCUUUGGUAGCAGUGUAACGUGCACAUGGUUGAUCAGUGUUGCAGAACUAGCCUUCCAAGAAGAAUUCUUGCCACAGUGUUGAUGUACAUGUUACAUGUAUCAUCAUUCAAGAGAGGAAAAUUCUUCAGAGACACAGGGGAAGCCACCGCAGGUUGAUGAUAUCAGUUGCCAUACUUGAGGCCUCAACAAUUUGCUGAAAGUCACUGUUGGCUCGACAUGUCACCUGACCAAACAGAUACAUGUGCAUGACAGUUCCACGGUGUGGUUGCUUGAUGUCACCAGAGGUCUCUGACUACCACUGCUGAUUUGAUGAUGUGGGUUUUUUGUGGUCAUUUGGAUUCCUUCACCAGCACUACCAUUCCACAGUUUGGACCUCGAGAAGUAUGAAGAUGCAGUUCGAACAGAACUAAAUAGACGAGACCCUCAGACCCCUUAGGUUAACUUGGUGCUAGUAGUGCUUGUCCCACAAGUUGUUUCUUGCAGUACUGCUGGACCAUCUCUGUUCUGCUGCCAUUGGCCAGAUACUCAGAAGAGGACGCAAAGAAUGAAUCAACUUGAGUUAGGCAGAUCUUAGUCUGUCAAGUUUGGUGUUCUGUUAAUUGAUGGCAGUUACUCACAGACGAGUUUCAGCUUUUAGAAUGAAUGCUGCGGUACAUGUUUGUUUGUGCAUUCAUGUAUGUGCCUGAUUCAACUUGUCUUGUGAUGUCUCUAUCUACCAAACUGGAUAAUGCAAGAGCCAUCCACGCUAAGUAUAGAAGGAUGCAGUGUCAGCCUAGAUCAACCCCUUCUUGUUUGAGAUUGAGCAAGAUGGAGAGGCACUCACUUGCUCUAAAGCUGAGACCAAUCCAGCAAGCACACCAAGAGCCCUGUAUAAUACCUUCAUUGCACAAUUUGAUGUUAACUCUUGCGGGAUGUUCUGAGUGGUUUCUGCAGGUCUUCCACGUCUUAGUGACUGUGCAGAUGAGCUCAGCUUGGGCACAUGUCCUCUAGCAGAAUGUCAGACAAACCCUUCAACACAAUUCAACUCUGCCCAUGACUAUGAUACAUUCCAAGCUUGGGAGAGAGAGAGCAAGUUUGCCGAUAAGCCCUUUCAGACAAUGGUGUGAUGGAUGAUCUAUACCAUGACUUGCUCCAAGGAAGGAACAAAGUGUGCUUUGGAGAUGCAACAAUUGCUAAGGAGACGCCAGGGAUGUGUGCUGCCAUAGCCUACUGGGAUGUGAUGACAUAAAUGCCAUAAAUGAACUGACUCUUGGCAAUUUGAGGCAUAUACCGCCAUGGACACUCGAACACAGCAUGGAACUUGAACUCUUAGAAUAUGUCAAAUAGCACUUGACCUCUCUUGCCUGGGUGUCAUAAGGAAUCAUUAAGGUUUUGUUGGAUCACAAAAAAUCAUCCUUGGGUAGGCCUACUCUAAGCCAAGUAUUUCAAGGAUAAUCCUUACAAAUUGGUCAGAGCUUUGUAAUUUGUUUUUUUCCUACAAUGUACAUGUACUCAAUGAACAACACUAUACAUGUACCAUAACGGAGACAAACUGGUACCUCCAGUUGAUUGAAAAUGAAUGUAGACUGUCUGGUGGACUUCAUCCUUUCAAAAAGAAUAAAAAAUUCUGGAAAUGGUUAUCAAAUUUCAGGGCACCCAAGGGCAGGAGAGGUGGAGUAUUAGACAAAGCUUGAGAUGGAAAGACAUUCACCUGAAAGGCAGUCAACAACUUCCCUGAAGAUUUUCAUUUAUUUUCUUUCAUUCUUUCUUGUACCAGAAUUCAAUUUUGGCUCCAUCUCUUAGUCAUUUUGCUGUAAAAUCUAUUGUUGAUAGUACCCUUUUAAUCCUUGGGGAAAACAGAGUUUCUGUUGGUGUUGAUCAAAUUUCAAUUUUAAUGAAACAAUUUAUGUUGACUGCCUUAAGGUAUGUCAAAAUUAUACCUUAUCUGGUCAUUGCCAAGGUAACUGGGUUCUCACAAAAGCAAACUGAUUAAUUCUGGAAAUUUUUGGCUUUGGUUUGCAUGUUUUCAGUCUGCACAAACUUGUGGCCCCUCUUUAGAUGAAAUGUGAGGGUUCAAACAAUUUCUUUUCAAACAUCAUUCUAAAUCAGAUUGAAAUCAGUGCUGUGUCACUCUGACUUACCUUACGCUGACUUCCAUCAAAGAAGUUUGUGUAAAGAUAUCUCAAUCCCAGAAAAUGCAGUAGCAAAUUAGACACUUUGCUCCGUGUAACAAAAUCUCUGGUAGAUCCAUUGCUUUCAGAGGCUCCUUUAUUUGUCAUCAAUCCAAUUGACUGUUUUUGUGAGAGUCGGUUAUGUGGAGUGAAAGAUAAUCGGAAGUGAUUUUAAAAAUGCCUGGAUGGUAAUGCCUGUAUUUUAUCUGGGCACAAGAUUGGUCAUCUGUCAUGCCAGCUAAUUGUUGAGAAAAAAGUGUUGCUGUUUUGAAUUGAUAUCUGCAUAUUGGAUGCUGAUAGAAAUGCCAGUCAUGGUCCUACUUCGCGCUUUGCUUGCCGAAUGGUACAUGUACAAAUACCUGAGCUUGAAAUUUACAUACAUGUACAUGUACAUACAAUUUUUGUCUUAUUUAAGAAGAAAGCAAAAAGACAACCUUUUGUCAUUGUUUCAGACAAACAGCAAAAAAAGUGCAUACGUUUUCAUUUAGUUUUACAAAUUUGAUGAUUUAUUUCCUUUGAUACAGAACACUUAAUUUCAAAUGUGAGCUUGUCAGUACUCCAUUCAAAAGAUUUUUUGGCAAAGUCAUUUGGUGUUGUUUAAACUGUUCACGGCACAUGUUUAUUUGAAAUUUGGAGAUACAUGUAUGUUAUCUCUGAGUUACCAGCUAGCUCUAAUAUCAAAGUAAACCCUUGUGUUUCCAUUUCUGAGUCAUCUGUUUUGGAAGAUUACUUUGAUCACACUGGAGCACUUUAUCUUGAAUUGUGUAACGGUGCAUCUGAUCCUAAACUCUAGUCUCCUUUCAACACAGAUCAAUCUUGUGCCCACCAUGUCAUUCAUUUUUUGUAUAACCAGCACUGGCAUGUAAGUCAAACUUGAAGGUAUCCAUUCAGUUGGACUCUUAACUGGUAGUUUUCAGGAGAAGUACCUCAUCACAAAUGCUGUUAAAUUCAAAUGUGCACUUGUCAGCAUUCCAUUCAAUUUUUUUUGGCAAAGUCAUGAAAUUCAGUAAUAAAGAUACAUGUAACGUGUUUACUUUGGAGAAAUGCCAAAAGAUUCUCAAGAAAUUAAUUCUCCCAAACUUAUCACAAACAAACACUUGCAUCAUUUCUCUAUCUCUGGUGCUGAUUGUACGAUUUAUGCCAUCAUAAAAACCCAAUACAUGUAACAAUGUAUAACAAUCUAUUACUUCAUGUUUCACCUACAGGCAUUCCAUCCUAAAAUCACUCGAAGCCCAAUGCAUGCAGGCCCCCCCUGCUGCACGCCCGGGUGGUGUUCCCCGCCCUGCAGGCACCGACAGGUCUGGUGAGUCGCCCCUGCUGUCUGUCAUUGGCUGGUGGUUGGCUGUUCUUUGUGUGUGCACCUUCUUCCUGCUUCUUGUUGUCUGGGCGAUCAUGGAUACCUCAGUUGACUACAAUGGGUAAGGAUCACUUGUGCUCUUACAGUUGGCUUGCUUUCCUUCAAAGGAGCUGGGAUCGAGGCUGCUUGUACGAUGUGUUACCGUGGCAACCAAUGAAUCCAUCCUGCACUCUUAGGAUUGCGAAUUGAGGGAUAACUCUUACACCUACUCUUGAUCCGACACCCACAACUUCAGAUGUCCUACAGUUGCAUCGUGUUUUGAACCAGACAGAGGAGAUGUUUACCCAUGCUAACUUUUUGUGAGUUAUCUCUGAUGUUUCUCAGUGUUGUGAAUUUUGGGACAAUUGUCGUAACUCCUGUUUGUGUUGAUAACUUCCUUGUGCAACUCCUAAAUUGAUCUACAUUGUAUUGUGUUACCAUGUUCCAAGGCAAACCUGACCUCAAAAGGACAGAGAAGACACAGUCAUCAAAACUGUAAUGAAAUGAAAAAGGUGUGGACGGUUUAUAUUCCUAGCCAAAAAAUCUGCAUGAUUUAUCCUUUGAGCCAUGCCACUGAAAAUGAGAUCAUUUAAACCAACCCUUCUGCUUUUUGCCUUUUGUACACUAACUCGCAAGACAAACAUUCUUGUAAAAACUGAAAGACAAAAAGCUCCAUUCCUAAUCUCAGAGCCGAAAUUGUAAAAUAGUCCUGCUACACGUGAGACACUCUGGUUUAAUCACAACAAAGCCAAAACUGAUUCCUGAUUGAGAAGCUAUUGCAAACCAUUCAAAAAGAUUUGAAUUCAGUCUCAAAGAAAUUGUAUCUAUCUUUUCGUUUUGUGAAAGAAUGAAAGUUGAAGCAAAAAUUCAUCUGAAGUGAAAUCAGCAGUAAGGAAAAUAGGCAGUUGAAUCUGAGUCCAGUUUCAAGAUUGCCACUGCUGUUAUUUAGUUAUAUCCAUUGUAAUAAAUCAACUUUUAAAAGCCAUUGUGCCAACAUCUAUCUGUAUUAAAAAUGAAAUGUGUAGCUCAACUUUGAAAAUCCAAUGACACCAAAAUAUGUUUCGGAGAAUUAAAACAGGUAAAAGGAAACAAAAGUUCUGUGAAAGGCCAAACUCUUGAAUUUACAAGGAGAAGUUGUGCAGAGAUUGGGAAACCAUACUGCCUCCUUGCCAGAUGAUGGAUGCGGUGGACAAGAUGCCCUCUGCAUCCUGACAAGAAGCUGUGGUGUCAGACACGGGGAGCCAGUCCUGCCUAAAGGCAUCCAUGGUAAGCUUAAUUGGAGUUUGGAGGAUCAAUUCAUGCACUGAUUGACAAGGUUGUACAUCCUCACAUCUUGCCCAUUGAACCCAAAGUCCCAAAUUGUGUGUCUCAUGGCUAGGAGUCAUGCUGCCUGUAUGUCUGUGUAAUAAGAUCCAAUGGCUCUGUGCAUGUAGUCUUCAGUCUUUGGCAGUACUGUGUGUAAGGGCCCAUUUACACUGACGAGUGGCAACAGAAAAGUGGCUAUGGUAGCAAUUACAGGUAUGUACAAAUUGGAAAUCCAUCCAGUAUGCGGAUCGUGACAUUAAUGACUUUCAACCUUGCCAGUGGUGCCCUCAUGGGAAGAGUUGAAUGCACAAAUGAAUUCAUGCCUAUUCUCACUUUAACACUCUGAGAGCUAGUUCAUGAUGUCAUACGUAAUGAAGCCACUGAUUGGUCAGUCUCAAUGUAGAAUCUUUGAAAAGUCAGUGAUGUUUCCUAAUGCAGCAGUUUAUCGUCCUGCUGCAGGGUUUGUCUGCUCUCAGUGUAAAAGCAGUGUGUGCAAUAUUUGUUACAAUUUGGAAUUCUAUUGCCACUUGUCUGUGUAAAUGGGCCCGUAGAAGGGAAAAGGUUACCUGAAAAGUUGACCUGUAUUGUUAUUGAAUUCUUGAUGAAGCCAUUGACAGUGAAAAAAGAUAUGAACACUGUUGAUUCAGUGAACAUGCUACUCUGGAAUAUGCGACUCAAAAUUGUUCUCUCCUCUUGGCUUGUUUUCCAAACUUCUCGGAAUCUUCAUGAAUUCAAAUCAGUGGCAGAGCUGUGAGAAAUCAAAAAAGUCACUCACUGUUGCAGCUAAAGACAAACCUGAUUGUCUGGACAGAGAGAAACAGCCUGUAUCAAGGUGCCAUCAGUGAUCAAGAAAGGCAUCACAUCAAAUGAUACAAGGCACAUCAAUGGAUAAAACUUCCACCCGUGUCAGAGUUCCAGUGAUCAUGAGUGCUUGAAUGCAGCACAGUGAAGUGCAAUGGCACAUUGUAAUGCCGUCUGCACCUGGGCCAUGAUAGCUCAAACUAUCAAGUGCUAGAAUCUGGAGAGCACGUGUACCCCAGUGGAUGCCAAGUAGCAUUCUUUGCUCUCUAGCAGAAGUGAAUAAAAGUCACAGAUUCUGUGAUGGUCAUUUGAUUUAUGUGAGUCGCAGGUAAAACAAGACAAACUUUACAUGCCAGCAGGCCAACAAGAUAUUGUCAUAUGGUUUCAUCCCAGUUUAAAUGCAACACACAGUUGUAGGGCUUUAAUUAGCUUGCCUUACAACUGUACUUGGCCCAAAGGAUGAACUGGUCUUUCCAGUAUUAAGCAAUGUGUCCCAAACAGUUCUUCACCUAAAUGCCAAAUCUUUAAAGCGUGAUUGUUUGGAAAAUUGUAGUCCACAUGCAGAUGAUCCAAAUCGAAAUUACAGUCGACUCUCGUUAUUACGAAAUCAGCUAAAACGAAAUUCCGGUUAUAACAAACAAAAGUGUGUAGUCCUGGCGAAAACGUGCAAUGAAAGGCAUUUGGUUGAAAGAAAGUAAUGGUACCCCCUCUCUGUACCAUGCUAUUCAAAAUUUCAGCCCAUGACUAAACUUGUGCAAAUGAAAGGAAAAAAGACUACAGUGCAUUUAAUUGUAAACCUUCAUCACCAAAUGUACAUGUACCUCAUCAAUUGAGGCUUUGUAAAGAAAGACAGGCUAAGGGUACUUUGUACAAUGGUUUGUUCAUACUUAGUUCUCAUGAAAGAGUACUUGCUAGCCACAGCCUGUAAAUCUUGUGCUUGUUCAGUAUCCUGCCCCCGGCAGCUAACAUUGCAUGUUUAUAGGUGGAGAACGUUUGGGACCUGUUGCACUUGUAUUGCCAAAGACUGAAGACUAACCAGCUCCAUGCAUUUUUUUCAGUGAUGUAGUAGACAAAAUACCAAACUUGCUCAGGCAAUGGUUGCAAAUGUACGUGUACAUGCAGAGAAAUGUGUUUCUUUUGGCAAUCGUGGACGUUCCUCUCGUCCUCUCAUGUUCAUAACUUUUUUGGAAGGCCUCUAAUAUGCUUUGUACACGUUUGGCAAUCGUGGACGUAUCGGGAAUCGUGGAUGGUCAUUAAUUCUUUUGUUUAACGUCCACAAUUGUUUGGGAACAUCAACGCAUGUGUACCGUGGCACUUGCAUGUGAUUAAUUCUCUUGAACAAUCUAGUGCAGUGCUACACACCCACUACUUGAAUGUACCAUUCAAAAGUGGUGUAAGCACCAAAUCUUGAUUUCUGUCACUCUAGAUAUUACAUAGGGUACCGCCUUCUUGUAAUCUUUCUAUGCAACAUUCUGUGUAAUGUUGCAUCUGCUUCUAUAUGUACAUCAUUGAAUUGAUUUUGGUCAGAUGUCAAAGGUAAAAGAAACGGGCCUCUAUUUUGAUACAAACAUGACAUUCAGAAUGCACUGGUACUGAAUACUGGUUACAUUUAGCUUCCAAACUGGAUUUUAUCAACCCAAUUGGUUGGAGGAGCAUGACUGUAAGGAUUGAAUCUAGGAAUUGCAAUUGAAAUAAAAGUAUGAACAACUGUUGUGAAAAAUACACAACUGCAAUAGAUUAAGGUCAAGGAGCCUAUAUCUUAAUACAAACGACAAUGUUAGAAUCUGCUGAGAAUCUGUUAGAAUAGUAAGAUUUUUCUGAAAAAACUGUCAAAGAUGCUUAAAUUGUAGGAAAGUUGAUACCAAACCAUAGAAAAAAAAGUUAUUGCUUGUUUGCAGUAACAUAUGGCAUGUUGUCAGUAUUUUUCAUCUGAGAGCACAGAGUGUGAUGCCAGAUCGUCAUACCAGUUACAAUCAGUCAUGUUUGUUUCAGAAAGGCCAUUGUUAAACAGAAAUCAAUGUCAAAGGUCACUUUGCUGAGGCAGGCUCUAAGAAACUCUGCACAGUCGGAUCAGAGACCAUCAUGUUGCUUGAAAAUGUUGACCUUUUUGCAGUGUUGACAGUAAAAAAUGUCUCGCAUGUAAGUUGCAUGAAGUGCUUCGAAUAUGAAGAAUCAUCAACCAUUUGUGCCACUUGUUGGUUUCAAGUAAAUGCUAAAUGGCAUGUACAUUUAUGCUCAUAUGUCAAAAUAACUGCUUUGAAAAAGUAGUUGACCGAAAUAAAAUAGAUACAAGGCAAAAAACCCCACAAUUUUACCGAAUUCUUUGGCAUCCAAGCUUUUGAAUGAUUAGCACACAUCACUACUAACAUUGGACUGACAACGAACAGUCUUGAAGAAGCAUCAAAUAUGAUUACAUAUAUAUGCUUCUGAUGCCAAUUCUGGCCUGUAUUCAAGUUUAUUUGUAAUCUAUCCUGCUUACAAUCUAACAACUUAUCGCCAGAGUGCAACUACCUGUCCUUGAAGAAAGUUCAACCUAUGUACAUGGAAAAGUGCUCCACUAGAAGCAAUGGCAUAGGUUAGCAACAAAGGUGGCACUGAGGACAACAUGCAAUCAAGAAAGAUUAGUUUUUGAACCUUUUCAAGUCAGUACAUUCGUCACUUGUCAGAUGCAUUUCUUGCAUAUGCACAUCUAGACAAUCUGUCCUUUUGUGCAUGAGUGACACUGUUUUGAAAUUGGCUCACUUUGAAAAAUCACAGCUUUUCUUGUGGCCUGCCUCAGCUUUGCAUGUGAGCUAUACACAUGCACAAUCCAUUUGUUAUGUAGACAUGCAGUGUAUGUGUACCCCAAACGUUGCCAUGUUAGAAGACACACUAUCUUUGGGUUGAUAGGAGUGAGGAUGUAUAACCAAUUGUACAGUGCAUUGAAUUGAUGAAAACUCCAAUUAAGCUUAACCAUGGGUGCCGUUGCAGGAGCAGGACUGGUAGAAUCCCCGUGUCGUCACGACGCCACAGCUUCUGAGGAUGCUGAGGGGUAGGUAGCUGCCGCAUCCGCAGUGGCAUAGCCGGAAAUGGGGAGCCGUGCCUUGGAUGAAAAGGAAUUCCUGAAAAAGUUGCCAUUUUAAAAAGAAAAUAAAAGAAGAAAAAACGACUCUGGACAAAAACAGUGUCCAAAAUCCAGCCAUCCUUUUCUUCCUACAAGGGCACUGUCUCCAAUUGGGGAAAUUGCCCAAGAGAAAAACCCCACUGCUAUGCCACUGCACACUGUUUAUCUAGCAGUGAGGCAGUAUGGUUUGUUCCCCAUUGCAUGUCCGACUUAAAACCAUAAAAUGUACAUGUGUGCAAUGAAAAAAUGAAACAGAACCAACUGCUACCUAUUUCAAUUUCUUAUUGAUGGAUAAAUGCUAACUAAUUUUCCACAAAAUAUAACAAAGGGUUUGGCCUUGUGUUAAAGUUGUCCUGUAUUUGCAGUUGCAAAGAAGAAAAUUGAAAAGUAGAUGAAAGAGACCAUUCUUUCAGGAAUGCUAGAAUGCGUCAGAAUACUGGUGAAUACUCUACAUAAUUGAUAGAGCAAAAUAAGACGGAUGAUGGCAUAAAUCAACCUUUUAGUCUUACCAUGCGACACUUUAAGAACAUACUUAGAUAUUUCUGGAAAUGAACCAAUUUAUGGCGGAAAAGAAAAUGCUUCUCAAUCAGGAAUAUUAAAAGAAGAAAGCAAGUGGUAUUUUCCCUGAUUCAUUUGACUUUUUUUAAUUGUAAAAGUGUAAAAAAGAAUUAGAAAGACUGUUUGCCCAGCAAAACUAAUCUGUUUGUGCAGCUAAAAGGGACAAAUUCUGUUUCUUUUUGAUCAGAUUUCGGUUCACAAGUCAUUUCUAAGGAGUCAUUUUGUGUACUUUAAAUAGAAUGAAUUCGUAUGUAUGAGGGAUUAGCUCUGUAAGCUAAUCGGUGUCCACACAUGACAAAUAGUCAAGUUCACUGGGCUUAUACAGACUGCUUUUUGAAAAAGGAACAUGGUUUACACAGUACUUGUAGGUUGUAUUGGAGUUGUCAUGGAAGUUAUUUAUGUGGACAAGAGCUACGAUAAAUGCCCUACAAAUUUGUAACAUUGUCAAAUGUCGUAGAAAGCUUGCAAAACGUUAGAGUGUGUUAAAUGCUUCAUCUGGUUGAUUCAGGCACAGAAUGUAACUUGUGGCUCUGGAAAUGUCGGUUGCAAAGAUCAUGACGAGUAGCCCGUGUGGGAGGGUUCUCUUUAAUGAGCAAUUCUUGGGAGUAAUGGAGUGAUCACUGGUAUCCAUAGCAACACAGAGUAUAAACAACCAAGAUGCCGUACUUUGAUAGAAAGCAAUGCCGAUGGUAAGAGUUCAAGUGAUCCUUGUCCUGUUGGAGUUAACUGAAGUCAUUCAUGAAUGCUUGGAUUUCAAGAGUGGGGAAAUGUGUGCACAUGAAGAAAAAGCGAUCACUAGUUGGUGCAGAUAGUUAGGGGGACUCCCUGGUCUGAAGGUGUCUGUAGGGCGGGGACACACCACUUGGGUGUGCAGCAGGGGGGGGGCCUGCAUGCAUUGGGCUUUUUUUUUG
rnacentral:lncRNA from 1 species